rnacentral:rRNA from 1 species
UACAGAGGUGGCAAGCGUUGUUCGGAAUUACUGGGCGUAAAGGGCGAGUAGGUGGCCAUCUAAGUCAGACGUGAAAUCCCCCGGCUUAACCUGGGAACUGCGUCUGAUACUGGAUGGCUUGAAUUCGGGAGAGGGAUGCAGAAUUCCAGGUGUAGCGGUGAAAUGCGUAGAUAUCUGGAGGAAUACCGGUGGCGAAGGCGGCAUCCUGGACCGAGAUUGACGCUGAUGAGCGAAAGCUAGGGGAGCAAACGGG